CCUACGGGAGGCUGCAGUGGGGAAUAUUGGACAAUGGGGGCAACCCUGAUCCAGCCAUGCCGCGUGUGUGAAGAAGGCCCUCGGGUUGUAAAGCACUUUCAGUGAGGAAGAACGCCUGGUGGUUAAUACCCAUCAGGAAAGACAUCACUCACAGAAGAAGCACCGGCUAACUCCGUGCCAGCAGCCGCGGUAAUACGGAGGGUGCGAGCGUUAAUCGGAAUUACUGGGCGUAAAGCGCGCGUAGGUGGCUUGAUAAGCCGGUUGUGAAAGCCCCGGGCUCAACCUGAGAACGGCAUCCGGAACUGUCAAGCUAGAGUGCAGGAGAGGAAGGUAGAAUUCCCGGUGUAGCGGUGAAAUGCGUAGAGAUCGGGAGGAAUACCAGUGGCGAAGGCGGCCUUCUGGACUGACACUGACACUGAGGUGCGAAAGCGUGGGUAGCAAACAGGAUUAGAUACCCUUGUAGUC
rnacentral:rRNA from 1 species